GAUGAACGCUGGCGGCGUGCCUAAUACAUGCAAGUCGAGCGAACAGACGAGGCGCUUGCUCCUCUCACGUUAGCGGCGGACGGGUGAGUAACACGUGGAUAACCCACCUAUCAGACUGGGAUAACUUCGAGAAUCCGGCGCUAAUACCGGAUAAUAUAUUGAACCGCGGUGUUCAAUAGUGAAUGACGGUUUUGCUGUAACUUCUAGCUGGAUCCGGGCCGCUUGAGAUAGUUGGUACGGUAACGGCUUAUCAAGGCAACGAUGCGUAGCCGACCUGAGGGAGGGGUAGGCCACACGAGAAGUGAGACACGGUCCAGGGGCCUGAGAGAGGCAGCAGUCGGGAAUGGUCCGCAACAGGGGAAAACCUGACGGAGCGAGGCCGCGUGAGUUAUGGAGGUCUUGGGUGCGUGAAGAUCGGUUAUGGGGUAUAAACAAAUGUGGAAGGAGCUAUGCACGUCGUGACGGUAACUGGUCAAGAAGCAACGGCUAACUACGUG
rnacentral:rRNA from 1 species